rnacentral:rRNA from 1 species
AUCGAGGUUAAAGGUACCCGUACCGCAAACCGACACAGGUGGGUGAGGAGAGUAUCCUAAGGCCAGCGAGAGAACUGUUGUUAAGGAACACGGAAAAUGUACCUCGUAAUGUAGGGUUAAGGGGUGCCACCAUCAGGUGGCCGCAGAGAAUAGGCACAAGCUACUGUUUACCAAAAACAUAGGUUUCUGCUAAGUCGCAAGACGAUGUAUAGGAUCUGACGCCUGCCCGGUGCUGGAAGGUUAAGGGGAUCUGUUAGAGCAAUCGAAGCAGUGAACUUAAGCCCCAGUAAACGGCGGCCGUAACUAUACCGGUCCUAAGGUAGCGAAAUUCCUUGUCGGGUAAGUUCCGACCCGCACGAAAGGCGUAACGAUUUGGGCACUGUCUCA